rnacentral:rRNA from 1 species
GCUUACGGCCAUACCACUCUGAACACGCCCGAUCUCGUCCGAUCUCGGAAGCUAAGCAGGGUCGGGCCUGGUUAGUA